ACUCCUGCGGGAGGCAGCAGUGGGGAAUUUUGGACACUGGGCGAAAGCCUGAUCCAGCAAUGCCGCGUGAGUGAAGAAGGCCUUCGGGUUGUAAAGCUCUUUUGUCAGGGAAGAAACGGUGAAAGCUAAUAUCUUUUGCUAAUGACGGUACCUGAAGAAUAAGCACCGGCUAACUACGUGCCAGCAGCCGCGGUAAUACGUAGGGUGCAAGCGUUAAUCGGAAUUACUGGGCGUAAAGCGUGCGCAGGCGGUUUUGUAAGUCUGAUGUGAAAUCCCCGGGCUCAACCUGGGAAUUGCAUUGGAGACUGCAAGGCUAGAAUCUGGCAGAGGGGGGUAGAAUUCCACGUGUAGCAGUGAAAUGCGUAGAUAUGUGGAGGAACACCGAUGGCGAAGGCAGCCCCCUGGGUCAAGAUUGACGCUCAUGCACGAAAGCGUGGGGAGCAAACAGGAUUAGAAACCCGUGUAGUCCCAUG
rnacentral:rRNA from 1 species